ACACGUGUGGUAUAGUGGUAGCUAUUGCUCGCUUUUGCUUGAGAGGUCAUGGGUUCGAAUCCCUUUGGGGGUC
rnacentral:tRNA from 7 species